rnacentral:rRNA from 1 species
GAUCCUGGCUCAGGGUGAACGCUAGCUACAGGCUUAACACAUGCAAGUCGAGGGGCAGCAUGGUCUUAGCUUGCUAAGGCCGAUGGCGACCGGCGCACGGGUGAGUAACGCGUAUCCAACCUGCCUUACACUCUUGGACAGCCUUCUGAAAGGGAGAUUAAUACAAGAUGUUAUCAUGAGUAAGCAUUUUCGCAUGAUUAAAGGUUUACCGGUGUAAGGUGGGGAUGCGUUCCAUUAG